GUUUAGUUGGGUGGUAAGGUAGAUGAUAAAAUAUUUACAUAAAAUUAUAAGUAUAGAAAAUGAAGCAUAUACUCUAAGUAAUACACAAAAAUGUCUCCUGAUAAGCCUUUUAUUUUGUGUUUGGUGUAAUUUUUUAAAGUGACAUGUUCAUGUUUUUGAAUAAAUUUUACUUACGUCUUUGUGUUUUUAUGUACUUUCCAGUGGAAAAUUAUUAAAAAUGUUUUCCCAGCAAAUCAACACAAUUUAAUAGUAAAUAGCAAUAUUAGCAGCAUUCCAUCUAGUGCAAAAUAGGUCUUUCAAGCACAGUGGCCAAUGACCGUGGAGAAGUCUCCCAGGAAGGUUCUGGAACAGGUUCUUACAGGAAGGGCAGCCGAGAACAUCAAUGAUUAAAAGGGGGCUGAGAAGAGGAAACUGAUGGACAAAGAGGUGAGAAGUGGGAGAAAGAACGAAAAUCUGGAGGUUGGAGGAUAAACAAACCCACAUCCUUGUGGAUGAAGAAGGAUACCAAAAACUCAUUUUCCUGGAAGGAGCAAUUUUUGAAAUCAGCUACACUGAGGCUGCAGAUUGAGUGAAGGUCUUUUCCAUGUGAAUUUGUCCUGCAUCUGGGAUAAAGGUAUAAUGAUUACCUAAAGCAUGUUCUGUUCAUGGAAGAUCACUGGAACACAAAAGACCAAGCUCACAGCAUAUUCAAGACAUCUGCUCGUAUUCCACUGGCCAAAGAAAGUGAUGUGGCCCAGCCUAAAGUCAGCUCAUGCCUCUUGGAACACAUGGGGCAGCUGUGUGCACCUCAGAUGGAGCAGCCAAAAAGAGCUCAGAGCUUUGGUCCUGACUUUGCAGCCCAAGUGAGAUCAUGGGUUUUGUACUCCAGGCACUGUGCUAGGCACCAGGACUAUAAUACAACUUGUGAUCUGUAGAGGAGUCAGACAAUUAUCCAGGCAUCCCAAAGAAAUGUCAAUUGCAAACAAACACCACCCAACACGCCUCAUGUAUAUCAUUU
rnacentral:lncRNA from 1 species